CCGCUGGAGCAUGCGGUCCCGCGUGGACCUGGGCCGCCGUCGUGGUGAUGACAGGUGCCACAGGUGCUGCUGCUGCUGCGGCGGGCUGAGGUGAGUCUGGGCGUCUCUGGGCCUCGAUAGUGUGUGUGGGCGGUGCGUUUACCGGUUCCGCUCUGGCCACAGGUCUCACUCGCCUCAGGGGAUGACUCGCCGGGUCAGUCUGGGCCGCUGGUGCUGCUGUUGUCGCCGGCGCCGCCGCUGCAGGGGCCUGUAUUGGCUCAUCUACCGCCAGACCGGCCAUCCAGUCCACAACUGUCUCUCUGGCCUCUUUUAAUGUGUCCGGGCCGAGUCUGCGGCCAAACUGCCUUUUGGCCCAGGCUGCCGCCACCUCGAACGGGUCACUCCACUCUGGACUAUUGAGUCUGUGAAGGUUCCGGAUUUCCUCCUUUAUCACAGACUCAUAGUGGUCCUGUAAAAUGACCAACGCAGUGUGCUCCCAGUUCUUAGCGUUGCCGUCAAUAAGCAUCUGCGUGGCCGUGUUGGGAAUAGCCGGCUUAAUGAAUGCGGCUAACUGCUGGGUCAUUCUAGAGAUCGUGACCGGUGGGUGUGUUAUAACAAUGUUAGAAAAAUGAUGUGCCGAUUUAAUGAUCUUAUGGAGGAUCCGGCAUUUAACAGUGAAAAGUGGGUCGUCAGAUCUGGGCCUAUUCUGAGCGCCCUCAUUGUUCUGGUUCUGGUUUCGCUGGUACCGUGUGUUAUUGCUAUUUACGUUGUUAUUGUUAUUGCUAUUAUUAUUAUAGGGGGGGCGUUGAAAGCGGGAGUCGAAGGACCGGGGCUGUGCGGGUCUUGGACGGGGACCGCGGUUAGCGGGACGUCCCGUGUACCUGUCAUCC
ensembl:lncRNA